rnacentral:rRNA from 1 species
CUUGGUCAUUUAGAGGAAGUAAAAGUCGUAACAAGGUUUCCGUAGGUGAACCUGCGGAAGGAUCAUUGAUGAAUUUAGGAGGUUUGCUGUGCCGUCUUCACGGAAUUGUGCACGCUUACCUCUAUAAUCCUUAUCAACACCUGUGCACCUUUCUAGGGAGAACGAUAGGUUUCACGACCUAUCAUGACCUCUAUAUACACACUCUUUAUGUCAAUGGAUGUUACUUGGCCGAAAGGCUAGAAUUAUAAACAACUUUUAACAACGGAUCUCUUGGCUCUCGCAUCGAUGAAGAACGCAGCGAAAUGCGAUAAGUAAUGUGAAUUGCAGAAUUCAGUGAAUCAUCGAAUCUUUGAACGCACCUUGCGCUCCCUGGUAUUCCGGGGAGCACGCCUGUUCGAGUGUUAUGAAACUAUCAAGAAAAAUUGGCUUUAUUGUUGAUUUUGAUUGGAUUUGAACUUUGACGUUGAUCUAGGUAGAGGGUUACUCCUCUGCUCUGUAAUACGACUAGUUUUAAAAGUAUAAGCAGGCUCUGGUUUUUUAAUUACCAUGGUUCUACUCAGCGUGAUAAUUAUCUAUCGUUGAGGACACUUUUAUUAGUGGCCAUGGUCCCAAGAGUUGCUCUCUAAUCUCUGUGAUCAGUUGCAAAACUGACUUCAUUCAUAUCUGACCUCGAAUCAGGUGGGACUACCCGCUGAACUUAAGCAUAUCAAUAAGCGGAGGA